rnacentral:rRNA from 1 species
GACGAACGCUGGCGGCGUGCUUAACACAUGCAAGUCGAACGAAAAUACCAAGCUUGCUUGGUUGAUUAGUGGCGAACGGGUGAGUAACACGUGAGUAACCUGCCCCUUACUUUCCUGGAUAACUGCUCGAAAGGGUAGCUAAUACGGGAUAUUCUGACCAGUCUGCAUGGGUUGGUUUGGAAAGGUUUUUUCUGGUAAGGGAUGGGCUCGCGGCCUAUCAGCUUGUUGGUGGGGUGAUGGCCUACCAAGGCUUUGACGGGUAGCCGGCCUGAGAGGGUGGACGGUCACACUGGGACUGAGAUACGGCCCAGACUCCUACGGGAGGCAGCAGUGGGGAAUAUUGCACAAUGGGCGCAAGCCUGAUGCAGCGACGCCGCGUGAGGGAUGAAGGCCUUCGGGUUGUAAACCUCUUUCGUCAGGGAACAAGGCAUUGCCUUUUUUGGUGGUGUUGAGGGUACCUGGAUAAGAAGCGCCGGCUAACUACGUGCCAGCAGCCGCGGUAAUACGUAGGGCGCAAGCGUUGUCCGGAAUUAUUGGGCGUAAAGAGCUCGUAGGCGGCUGGUCGCGUCUGUCGUGAAAACUUCCGGCUCAACCGGGGGCUUGCGGUGGGUACGGGCCGGCUAGAGUGCGGUAGGGGUAACUGGAACUCCUGGUGUAGCGGUGGAAUGCGCAGAUAUCAGGAAGAACACCGAUGGCGAAGGCAGGUUACUGGGCCGUUACUGACGCUGAGGAGCGGAAGCGUGGGGAGCGAACAGG